GGCCCUGUGGUGUAAUGGUUAAACGUCCUCUGUCUGUGAAGGUGUCUGGAGCUUAUGAGGAGGUUCCCUGUUCGAAUCAAGGCGGGGCCA